UUCCAGACUCCUACGGGAGGCAGCAGUGGGGAAUAUUGCACAAUGGGGGAAACCCUGAUGCAGCAACGCCGCGUGAGUGAAGAAGUCUUUCGGUAUGUAAAGCUCUAUCAGCAGGGAAGAAAAUGACGGUACCUGAGUAAGAAGCCCCGGCUAACUACGUGCCAGCAGCCGCGGUAAUACGUAGGGGGCAAGCGUUAUCCGGAUUUACUGGGUGUAAAGGGAGCGUAGACGGCGAUACAAGUCUGAAGUGAAAGCCCGGGGCUCAACCCCGGGACUGCUUUGGAAACUGUGUUGCUGGAGUGCUGGAGAGGCAAGCGGAAUUCCUAGUGUAGCGGUGAAGUGCGUAGAUAUUAGGAAGAACACCAGUGGCGAAGGCGGCUUGCUGGACAGUAACUGACGUUGAGGCUCGAAAGCGUGGGGAGCAAACAGGAUUAGAUACCCUGGUACC
rnacentral:rRNA from 1 species